GCCACAACCACCACUGUCGCCAUCAUCACCAACACCGAUUUUUGCUGCCACGUACAAUCUAUGAGAGGCUCAGAGCCAUAGGUACAAGAAUCUUAAGCUGCCACGUACACUUUGUGAAGCCGGUGUCUACAUUUGCUUCCACAUGUUCCAUCCCUAUUACUUCACACAAAAACCCUGCCACUCAUCUAAUAUCUUCUCAUCGGUCUCUCUUUUCAUCUAAGUCGCUCUGAUGAUUUUUUUCGUAUUAAUUCGGGAGAACGAUCGUUAAAGGCACCUUCGCGAAUGUGGAAUUUGCUCAGAACACAGAGACUGGUGAAAGUUGUUGAUCUGAACCACAAGAUGGUCGAUUAGAUGGCGCUGGUAAGAUAACAUGGGAUGAUGAAAAACCUCAACUUUAGCAGGUGACCCAGUACUGGCAAGUUCAGAUCUUACGAUUACAUAUCGUGAUUUUUUAUUUUGGUUGGGCAAUUUAUAUUUAGCAUACAUGCUAAUGGACCUUUCUCGUCGGUGAAAAUAGAGAGCAAAAAUC